UCGCGCUGCUGUUCAUUCACGCAUCAGCUGUUUGUUCUGCAGGCUGUUAAUGUUCCGCACCUGAAAUGGAAAGGUUCCCUCAGGGGAGGCGAUCUGAUCUGGACUCUUUCAUCUCUGAAUCAGAGAACCGAUUAGUGGCGGGUUGCCAAGUUCAGUGUAAAAACAGAACAACGGUUAUCAAACGGGUCACAAGGUCCAGACACAUAAAAAGGAGAGAAUUUGAACUGCAAAAACGGUUAGAAGAACCUUCAGCUAAUGGCGGACAAACAAAAAAAACGAUGUCAUGGGUGGCUACGCUGGCUAGCUUAGCAUUCACAACAGACUAUGCUAGCCAGCUUACCAUUCCCAACAGGCUAUGCUAACUAGCUUAGCAUUCCCAACAGGCUAUCCUUACUAAUGUAGCAUUCCCAAAAGUCUAUGCUGGCUAGCUUAACAUUCCCAACAGGCUAUGCUACCUGUCGCUUUAAAGAAUCAUUCUUCUAUCCAAAAUAUUGAUAUAAUCAGUACCAAGUUGGCUUCAGUAUCAGAUGGAUGAUGGCGUGCUAGUUUAACAUCCCAACUUUAUUUUGUUUUGGUUGUGGAGACACUAUUGGUUCUUUUAAAUCAGCCAUGGUUCUGUUCUGCUAUGCUUGGCCACUAAGAUGGCGUGGAUCACUUCCGGUUCCGGAUCAGUAACAAAAUAUCCCAGAAGAAAAGGAAUCUUGCAGCUGUGGAGAAACUAUUGGUUCCUUAACAUCAGACUCCAGGUUGACAUGUGGUUCGUCUCUCACCGGAGGAAGAAAUCCUGGAUGAAAACAUUCAGAAUCCUGGAGAGACAGAUGGAGA